GAAUUGAAACACUAGUUUUUGUAUGAUCACCAAAGUUAAGCAAUGUUGAGCCUGGUCAGUAUCUAGAUGGGUGACCAUUUGGGAGUACUUGGUACUGUAAG